rnacentral:lncRNA from 1 species
AACAAGGAAUAAGGUGAGGGAUUCUUAUUUGAAUCGAUAUCCGAAAUGCUAAGUUUUUAACUAUGCCUACUGGCGAUCUUUGGGUUUUCUGAAUUUUUUUUCAGGAAUUGAAACACGCUCUAAGUACCUAGAAAUACCUCCAAAAAAUCCAAAAUCGAUGUUAGAAACCCUUUUCAGCCAAUUUCAGAAUUCCGGCAUGGCGACACCGCUGUGCUCCGGCGACGGCACCGCCA